AGUCUUAAACGGAUAGAUGGAACUGGAUAUUCCGGUAUAUAUUUUCCACGAGGUCAUCAUACGAUAGCGUAUUCUGUAACAGACUCCAGAGGAUUUAAAGAUUACUGUUCCUUUACGUUUGAAGUAGCUGUUCAUCUGUGUCCGACAGUCCCCUGGCCUCGAAAUGGAAGAAAAGAUUGUGAUGGUGUAGAAAUGAUUUGGGGAAAAUCCUGUACUAUAAGUUGUGAUUCCGGUUAUGAUUUACAAGGUAGCCAGCUUGUUACAUGUCAAAAGGAUGGAACAUAUGUUGUCCCCACUUGUAAAGCUAAGAUAUGUCCAGUACUAACUUCUCCGACAAAUGGGAAUGAAUACGACUGCUCUGAUGGUAGAAAUUAUAAAAGUGUAUGCCGUACUACAUGCAAAAAUGGUUACCGUGCAACUUUAGCGUCAUAUACAACAUGUACAGAGUCGGGUACUUGGAGAGGACCUCUACCACAAU